rnacentral:rRNA from 1 species
GACGGAGGGGGCAAGCGUUGUUCGGAAUUAUUGGGCGUAAAGGGCUCGUAGGCGGACCGGUGUGUCUGGCGUGAAAUCUCCACUGCUUAACAGGGAGGGGCCGCUGGAAACUGCCGAUCUUGAGUAUGGUAGAGGACCAUGGAAUUUCGGGUGUAGCGGUGGAAUGCGUAGAUAUCCGAAAGAACACCGGUGGCGAAGGCGGUGGUCUGGACCAAAACUGACGCUGAGGAGCGAAAGCCAGGGGAGCAAACGGG